GACAGAGGGUGCGAACGUUGUUCGGAAUUACUGGGCGUAAAGCGCGUGUAGGCGGCAGCGCAAGUCGGGCGUGAAAUCCCACGGCUCAACCGUGGAAGUGCACUCGAAACUGCGCAGCUAGAGUCCUGGAGAGGAAGGUGGAAUGCUUGGUGUAGAGGUGAAAUUCGUAGAUAUCAAGCGGAACACCGGUGGCGAAGGCGGCCUUCUGGACAGUGACUGACGCUGAGACGCGAAGGCUAGGGGAGCGAACAGG
rnacentral:rRNA from 1 species